AUUGAACGCUGGCGGCAGGCCUAACACAUGCAAGUCGGGCGGUAGCACAAAGGAGCUUGCUCCUUGGGUGACGAGCGGCGGACGGGUGAGUAAUGUCUGGGAAACUGCCUGAUGGAGGGGGAUAACUACUGGAAACGGUAGCUAAUACCGCAUAACGUCGCAAGACCAAAGAGGGGGACCUUCGGGCCUCUUGCCAUCGGAUGUGCCCAGAUGGGAUUAGCUAGUAGGUGGGGUAAAGGCUCACCUAGGCGACGAUCCCUAGCUGGUCUGAGAGGAUGACCAGCCACACUGGAACUGAGACACGGUCCAGACUCCUACGGGAGGCAGCAGUGGGGAAUAUUGCACAAUGGGCGCAAGCCUGAUGCAGCCAUGCCGCGUGUGUGAAGAAGGCCUUCGGGUUGUAAAGCACUUUCAGCGGGGAAGAAGGGAGCAGGCUUAAUACGUCUGUUCAUUGACGUUACCCGCAGAAGAAGCACCGGCUAACUCCGUGCCAGCAGCCGCAGUAAUAC
rnacentral:rRNA from 1 species